GAAAAUUCAAUGGAUCUGUUUGUUUCGAAUUUCGCGCAUAGCUAUUCGUUGACUUUUGGCGCCAGCCGUUCCUAAUUUAGCAGUGAUAGAUUAGAGGGAAAGCAGAUAAUCAACACCACCCACCGCAAACUCUUGGGACGAUCUUUUAACAAGGAAUAGUGAGAAUGACCGUAAAAUCAUAACGCCCCAACCCAGAAAGACCGAGCAUGUUGACGAAGAUUCAAACCCGUAAACUGAGAGUCGAGCGUCUAACCACCAGGCCCUGCCAGGCUGGAAAAUUAAUGAUAAGUGAUUUUGAUAAUUUUCAUAGUCUUCCGUUCCCUUAUAAAUAAACGGAUAUCUUCUAUUUCUUUCAUUACCUUAAUACUUUGCUUAGUUAACUGGCAUGUGCGGAAGCGUUCCAUCUUGUUAAUUAUUUUUUAUUAUAUUUGUUUCAUAUUCUUUUGGAAAGUAGAAUUCGAUAGAUGUCUCUAAAAGUAAAACAACCGGAGGGAUGAAGAGAAAUGUCUGUUUCUUAGUUUAAAUUUAAAAUUGUAAACCGAAAAUCCGACCAAAAAUGUACAUGUGAACACGGGAGGUAUUAAUUUUUUUUAAAGUAAUAAUAUUCAGCUCUUAAUACGUGGGAAGAAAACCCACUGUAUAUGUUCGAUCUAACUGCAAGGUUUGAUAAGAAUAUAAAGGUGAAGCUACUAUAUAAUCAUGGAAGUAUUAAAGAUGAAGGUUGAAUCUUUUCCUGAUGAGGAGCAGGAUUCUUUGUUGGACAUCAAAUUGAUAAAAAAGGAAGAUGAAACUUUCACAAUAACUAGUACUACAGGAGAAGCUAAUUCCUUGGAAGAAAGUUCCAAACAAAUCAUUUUGAAGUUUGGUAUAGCAAAAGAAGACCAACAGGAAAAGUGUGAUGAUGCAUUUGAGAAAAGUGAGAAGCCUGAUGAUCUGCUACAAGAUGAUGUUAUUUCAAAAUUCAGUUAUAGUGAUGAUGAGGAUCAAAAUAGCUCACACUAUAAUAUUAUAAAUGUGAAAACAGAAAUUGAAUUUCAAAGAGAUAUCGAAUCUGGGUUAGAAAGAACAUCUGAUAUAAAGGCCAGUGUGAACAUCUGUUGUGGGAAUCAGAUUCCUGGUUAUGAUGUCAUAAAAGAAGAUCUCUUUACAGAAGACAUAAUAUCUCCAAGCAAAAAUACUUGUGGAGAAACCGAGUUAAGUGGAAAUAACCUAAAAUCAUCUAAUAUACACCAGUGUCAUAAUAAACUAUACAGUUGUCAGAAAAAAAAUUAUAACCUAAAAAAACAAAAGAGGAUACACUCUGGAGAGAAAACAUUUCACUGUACAGUGUGUGGGAAACAGUUUGAUAGAAAUAGUCACUUGAAACGACAUGAAAGAACACACACUGGGGAGAAACCUUACAGUUGUAUAGUGUGUGCUAGGCAAUUUGUAUCAAAAUGUAACUUAAAACAACAUCAAAGAAUACACACUGGGGAGAAACCUUACAGUUGUACGGUGUGUGCUAAACAAUUUAUAUCACACUGUAACUUAAAACAACAUCAAAGGAUACACACCGGGGAGAAACCUUACAGUUGUACAGUGUGUGCUAAACAAUUUAUAUCACACUGUAACUUAAAACAACAUCAAAGAAUACACACUGGGGAGAAGCCUUACAGUUGUACAGUUUGUGCUAAACAGUUUAGAACAAAAAGUGAAUUAGAAAAAACAUUAUAAUUUUUUAAAAGACAAAGAAAAUAUACAAAUAUUGCACAUACCAUCCACAGUCUCAAGGAGGAUUAGAAAGAUUGGAAUGAUGGGAUCUAUUUGUUUUUGUUUGCAGCCCAAGAGACCUUCCACUCAAGUCCAUUUGUGUUUAUGUUUGUGCAUGGUUCACUCUAAUUAUUGAAAGAUAAUGGUUAUGAAAGAAGACAAAGUUAAAUCUAUUGUACUACAUGUCGAAUUUCAAAGACAGAAUAAUGAAAGCAUGCUCCAUUGCUAGGGACAAGUUGCAGGAUUCUCAAGAAGACAUGAUAGUAUGAUACACAAAAAAGGUUUGUAGAAAAUUCACUGGGAGUUAUGAAAAUAUUGAAACAACCGAUAUUUCAACUACAAAGUGAUUCAAACUUAAAGAAUAUAAAGGUGAAGCUU
rnacentral:misc_RNA from 1 species